rnacentral:rRNA from 1 species
UACGAAGGGGGCUAGCGUUGCUCGGAAUUACUGGGCGUAAAGGGCGCGUAGGCGGACAGUUUAGUCAGAGGUGAAGGCCCAGGGCUCAACCUUGGAAUUGCCUUUGAUACUGGCUGUCUUGAGUUCGGGAGAGGUGAGUGGAAUGCCGAGUGUAGAGGUGAAAUUCGUAGAUAUUCGGCGGAACACCAGUGGCGAAGGCGGGUCUCUGGGCCAAUACUGACGCUGAGGAGCGAAAGCGUGGGGAGCGAACAGG